rnacentral:rRNA from 1 species
CGCCUCUUGACUAAACAUAAGAGGUCCAGCCUGCCCAGUGACUCUGUUUAACGGCCGCGGUAUCCUAACCGUGCGAAGGUAGCGUAAUCACUUGUUCUUUAAAUAAGGACUAGUAUGAAUGGCAUCACGAGGGUUAUACUGUCUCCUUUUUUCAAUCAGUGAAACUAAUCUCCCCGUGAAGAAGCGGGGAUAAAUAUAUAAGACGAGAAGACCCUAUGGAGCUUUAAACUACGUAACAACUGCUUUAUCUUAUUUACAUUUCUGAACCCCUUACAUUUACCACAGCUUAAUGAUUACUAGUUUUAGGUUGGGGUGACCGCGGAGUAAAAAACAACCUCCACUUUGUAUGGGAUUGAAUUCCUGAGCCAUGAGAGACACCUCUAAGCACUAAUUUAUUAACAUUAAUUGACCCAUUAAUUUGAUCAACGAACCAAGUUACCCUAGGGAUAACAGCGCAAUUCACCUCAAGAGCCCCUAUCGACAGGUGAGUUUACGACCUCGAUGUUGGAUCAGGGUGUCCGAGUGGUGCAGCCGCUACUAAAGGUUCGUUUGUUCAACGAUUAAAACCCUA